rnacentral:rRNA from 1 species
AAAUGAAUAGACGGGGACCCGCACAAGCGGUGGAGCAUGUGGUUUAAUUCGACGCAACGCGAAGAACCUUACCAAGACUUGACAUCCCUUUGACCGCUUCUUAAUAGGAGCUUUCCUUCGGGACAAAGGAGACAGGUGGUGCAUGGUUGUCGUCAGCUCGUGUCGUGAGAUGUUGGGUUAAGUCCCGCAACGAGCGCAACCCUUAUUUUUAGUUGCCAUCAUUAAGUUGGGCACUCUAAAGAGACUGCCAGUGAUAAAUUGGAGGAAGGUUGGGAUGACGUCAAAUCAUCAUGCCCCUUAUGUCUUGGGCUACACACGUGCUACAAUGGACAGUACAAAGGGCAGCAACGCCGCGAGGCCAAGCCAAUCCCAUAAAGCUGUUCUCAGUUCGGAUUGCAGGCUGCAAUUCGCCUGCAUGAAGUCGGAAUCGCUAGUAAUCGCAGGUCAGCAUACUGCGGUGAAUACGUUCCCGGGUCUUGCACACACCGCCCGU